rnacentral:rRNA from 1 species
AACGAACGCUGGCGGCGUGCCUAACACAUGCAAGUCGAACGAGAAAGGGAUUUCGGUCCUGAGUAAAGUGGCGCACGGGUGAGUAACACGUAGGUAACCUGCCUCCAAGAUUGGGAUCACCUGUCGAAAGACGGGCUAAUACCGAAUAAGACCACAGCUCCUUCGGGAGCAGGGGUCAAAGGUAGCCUCUACUUGUAAGCUAUCACUUGGAGAUGGGCCUGCGGACCAUUAGCUAGUUGGUGGGGUAACGGCCUACCAAGGCAAAGAUGGUUAGCUGGUCUGAGAGGAUGAUCAGGCACACUGGAACUGAGACACGGUCCAGGCUCCUACGGGGGGCAGCAGUGGGGAAUAUUGCGCAAUGGGCGAAAGCCUGACGCAGCAACGCCGCGUGAGUGAUGAAGGCCUUCGGGUCGUAAAGCUCUGUCGGAGGGAACGAAUGCUCUCGAGGUUAAUAGCCUCGGGAAGUGACGGUACCUUCAAAGGAAGCACCGGCUAACUCUGUGCCAGCAGCCGCAGUAAUAC